GGACGAACGCUGGCGGCGCGCCUAACACAUGCAAGUCGAACGAGAGAUGAGGAGCUUGCUCUUCAAAUCGAGUGGCGAACGGGUGAGUAACGCGUGAGGAACCUGCCUCAAAGAGGGGGACAACAGUUGGAAACGACUGCUAAUACCGCAUAAGCCCACGGCUCGGCAUCGAGCAGAGGGAAAAGGAGCAAUCCGCUUUGAGAUGGCCUCGCGUCCGAUUAGCUAGUUGGUGAGGUAAUGGCCCACCAAGGCGACGAUCGGUAGCCGGACUGAGAGGUUGAACGGCCACAUUGGGACUGAGACACGGCCCAGACUCCUACGGGAGGCAGCAGUGGGGAAUAUUGCACAAUGGGGGAAACCCUGAUGCAGCGACGCCGCGUGGAGGAAGAAGGUCUUCGGAUUGUAAACUCCUGUUGUUGAGGAAGAUAAUGACGGUACUCAACAAGGAAGUGACGGCUAACUACGUG
rnacentral:rRNA from 1 species